rnacentral:rRNA from 1 species
CCCUUAGAUGUUCUGGGCUGCACGCGCGCUACACUGGUGCACUCAACAAGUUUACAACCUUGAUCGAUAGGUCUGGGUAAUCUUUUGAAUAUGCACCGUGCUAGGGAUAGAUUAUUGCAAUUAUUAAUCUUGAACGAGGAAUUCCUAGUAAAUGCAAGUCAUCAGCUUGCGUUGAUUACGUCCCUGCCCUUUGUACACACCGCCCGUCGCACCUACUGAUUGAGUGAUCCGGUGAAUAAUUCGGACUGCAGCACUGCUUGGUCUCCAGGCUUUGCAGCGGAAAGUUUAGUGAACCUUAUCACUUAGAGGAAGGAGAAGUCGUAACA